rnacentral:rRNA from 1 species
GUGCCAGCCGCCGCGGUAAUACAGAGGGUGCGAGCGUUGUCCGGAAUCACUGGGCGUAAAGGGCGCGUAGGUGGCUGUGUAAGUCGGGGGUGAAAUGCUGCGGCUCAACCGCAGCGCUGCCUCCGAGACUGCACGGCUUGAGCACGGUAGAGGCCGAUGGAAUUCCCGGUGUAGCGGUGGAAUGCGUAGAGAUCGGGAAGAACACCGAUGGCGAAGGCAGUCGGCUGGGCCGUUGCUGACACUGAGGCGCGACAGCGUGGGGAGCAAACAGGAUUAGAAACCCCCGUAGUCC